rnacentral:rRNA from 1 species
UACGUAGGUGGCAAGCGUUGUCCGGAUUUACUGGGCGUAAAGAGCGCGCAGGCGGUCGUUCAAGUCGCGUGUGAAAGCCCCCGGCUCAACUGGGGAGGGUCACGCGAUACUGAUCGACUCGAAGGCAGGAGAGGGUAGUGGAAUUCCCGGUGUAGUGGUGAAAUGCGUAGAUAUCGGGAGGAACACCAGUGGCGAAGGCGGGCACCUGGGCUAACACUGACGCUGAGGCGCGAAAGCUAGGGGAGCAAACAGG